CACGUAGGGGGCGAGCGUUGUCCGGAUUUAUUGGGCGUAAAGAGCUCGUAGGCGGCUCAGUAAGUCGGGUGUGAAAACUCCAGGCUCAACCUGGAGACGCCACCUGAUACUGCUGUGGCUAGAGUCCGGUAGGGGAGCAUGGAAUUCCUGGUGUAGCGGUGAAAUGCGCAGAUAUCAGGAGGAACACCAGUGGCGAAGGCGGUGCUCUGGGCCGGAACUGACGCUCAUGCACGAAAGCGUGGGAGCAAACAGG
rnacentral:rRNA from 1 species